AGCCCGAGGAGUGAUCUCGUGUGAUUUCUGCCCAUUGCAAAAGUAAGAGGCCGCAGUAUCUUGACUGUGCUAAGGUAGCGAAAUAAUUAGGCUUUUAAUUGAAGUCCAGUAUCAAUGAAUUUACGAAGCUCGACUGGCUCUCGUAAUUUAGCUGAAGCUGUUUAGAGGGUGAAAACCCCCUCAGAAAACUAAAAGACGAUAAGACCCUAGGAGCUUCGGCAUACGCUUUUGUUGGGGCAACAGUAGAACAUAUAAUUUCUAUUUUGAAAGACGCAAGAGGAUUUAGGAGAAAGCUCCCCUAGGGAUAACAGCGUAAUAAAGAAUUUGCUUGCGACCUCGAUGUUGGACUAGGAAGUUGGAAGACCAGAAGUCUUCUUUUAGGUUCUGUUCGAACUUUGUUUCCUACGU
rnacentral:rRNA from 1 species